AUUACUUUAAUUUUUCUCCUUUAUUGCAAUACGGCAGUUUCAUUAUUGUUAACAUGUGGUUAAGAUGGUACCUUUUUAUAUGAAGUUUGCUCUAGAUUCUCAAAUUUGGAUUAAUUUAACUUCAGAAUUGAACUUUUUCAAACAUUUCUUUUAAAAUUCGCAUUUAUUUGUGUUAAUAGCCUUUGUCCUAAAAAUUCUCUGGGGCUACUAAUCAGGUGCAGGUUUUACCUUUGGUCCAACAACAGGUGAUCCUUCACUGUUGCUGCAGCAGUUCAGGCAAAUGAAGCAUCAUAAAGAGCAGGGUUUUUACCAGCUUUGCAAGUUCAGGAGGCAUUCACCUGGCUGUUGGAAAUGUUUCUAGGAGGAUCUUAGUCCCCUGACUGAACCCAUGUCCUUUGCAGUGGAAGCAGAGAGUCUUAACUACUGGAUGGCCAGGGAAGUCCCAUCUCAAUAAAUUCAGUUAACAGUCUUCAUCUCAUAUAGAUACAAAAAGAAAAAGAUUUUUUCCUUGUGACGAGAACUCGUAGGAUUUACUCUCUUUCACAACUUUCCUACUGUUAUAACUAAUAUAGAUAAUGUGAUUAACUUGGGAGUUGAAGAUACCCCCAAGGUUUAUAGUUAUUAUUAAAUGGGAAGAAUACAGAAAAGUUUGUCUAUUCCAUCUUUUUGUUUUGUUUUGUUUUUAAAUGAUUUUAUUUAUGGUUGUGCACGGU
ensembl:lncRNA